CCCCUUUGCCACCCCCCACCUGGUGUGGUGCACUGAGCUCUCUGCCACACAGACACCAAGCUGACAAGCCACAUGACCUCACUGUGCCCAGUAUGUGCUUAACAGCACACAGAAAUCCCUGUAGACUAGCAGUAUUUGAACCCGUUUACAUCUCAUCAAGGAGGACGGCCAUUACAAAACCACCCACCAUAAGAAGACCAAGCAGCGUGGAUUGGAGCAUCGGGUUGACGGAUGGACUUGGCAGAAAGAGCGAAGAUUCUGGGAGGACAAGUUACGGGAGCUACGGGAGCCCGAGAGGCAGCCCCCCAAUUUUUUUGGGGGGGGGCACACGAGAAGUUGGCCUGAGUCAGGAUGGAAUACUGAGCCAACUUCCCGUGCUUACAGGAGGCAUCAAAGUAC
rnacentral:lncRNA from 1 species